CGGAGGAUCCAAGCGUUAUCCGGAAUCAUUGGGUUUAAAGGGUCCGUAGGCGGGUUUAUAAGUCAGUGGUGAAAGCCCAUCGCUCAACGAUGGAACGGCCAUUGAUACUGUAGAUCUUGAAUUAUUAGGAAGUAACUAGAAUAUGUAGUGUAGCGGUGAAAUGCUUAGAGAUUACAUGGAAUACCAAUUGCGAAGGCAGGUUACUACUAAUGGAUUGACGCUGAUGGACGAAAGCGUGGGUAGCGAACAGGAUUAGAUACCCUGGUAGUCCACGCCGUAAACGAUGGAUACUAGCUGUCGGAGCAAUCUGAGUGGCUAGCGAAAGUGAUAAGUAUCCCACCUGGGGAGUACGUUCGCAAGAAUG
rnacentral:rRNA from 1 species